UACGUAGGGGGCGAGCGUUGUCCGGAGUUACUGGGCGUAAAGCGCACGCAGGCGGUCUGUUAAGUUUGGAGUGACAGUUGGUGGCUCAACCACCAAAGUGCUUUGAAAACUGAUAGACUUGAGGGCUUCAGAGGGACACGGAAUUCCGGGUGGAGUGGUGAAAUGCGUAGAGAUCCGGAGGAACACCAAAGGCGAAGGCAGUGUCCUGGGGAGUACCUGACGCUGCAGGUGCGAAAGCCAGGGGAGCGAACGGG
rnacentral:rRNA from 1 species